UGGAGUCCGAACUCUCACUUUCUAACCCUGUGCACUUGUUUGGGAUAGUAACUCUCGCAAGAGAGCGAACUCCUAUUCACUUAUAAACACAAAGUCUAUGAAUGUAUUAAAUUUUAUAACAAAAUAAAACUUUCAACAACGGAUCUCUUGGCUCUCGCAUCGAUGAAGAACGCAGCGAAAUGCGAUAAGUAAUGUGAAUUGCAGAAUUCAGUGAAUCAUCGAAUCUUUGAAUGCACCUUGCGCUCCAUGGUAUUCCGUGGAGCAUGCCUGUUUGAGUGUCAUGAAUACUUCAACCCUCCUCUUUCUUAAUGAUUGAAGAGGUGUUUGGUUUCUGAGCGCUGCUGGCCUUUACGGUCUAGCUCGUUCGUAAUGCAUUAGCAUCCGCAAUCGAACUUCGGAUUGACUUGGCGUAAUAGACUAUUCGCUGAGGAAUUCCAGUCUUCGGAUUAGAGCCGGGUUGGGUUAAAGGAAGCUUCUAAUCAGAAUGUCUACAUUUUAAGAUUAGAUCUCAAAUCAGGUAGGACUACCCGCUGAACUUAAGCAUAUCAAUAAGCGGAGGA
rnacentral:rRNA from 1 species